UAUCCGCAACUCUGAAAAUGAACUAUCGGUUCCGAUACGCGACACAGAGCAUACAAUACCUGGGGACCCACCUCCCAGGAGAACUACAGCUCACAUACCAACUUAACUACAGCCAUCUACUGGAAAAAGCCACCCAAGACCUAGACACUUGGCAAAACCUGUCCAUCUCAUGGCUGGGAUGCCUAGCCUCGGUCAAAAUGAACUUGCUCCCACGCUUCCUUU